UAUGAUGAAGAUUUGGAUUUGUUAAAAAUUUGAUGAUUUUUUUGCAUAAUAGAAUUCAGAUAAGGGACGAAUUUUAUAAUUUUGCGUAACAAAAUUUAUUGAUUUUCUUGAUAUGUAUAUAUAACUUUAAAACAAAAGGAACGAAAAGGUGCAAUAACCAAUGAUAUCUAAGGAAGUAAACUUUUUUUAGUGUAGAGACGAAUGUCUUGUUUGAUCUAAUCCUUGUCCGAAAGAGGUGCAACAGUCAAUAAUAUUAUUUUUUUGGUAUAAGCAACAGUCAAUAAUAUAAUAUAUAUAAGAAAGUAAUCUUGUUUUUUAGGGAUAAAUGGAAGUAAACAUAAUUAAUAUAACAAGGUUUAAAUGUAUUUUUGGUGCGUCUAUUUUGACAAAACCAUAACUUUGGUUUCUCUAUUUUUAAUUGCACAAUUUUGGCCCUCCCAAUUUAUAAUUCUUUUUGACCAACCCAAUGUUUUUACCAUCCAAUUUGAUGAUUUGACAUGAACAUGAAUGGUCUAAUUGGAUGAGAAUGAACAAAUGCAUUUCCAUAUAAUCAAAUUGGAGGGUCAAAAUCAUACUUUGUUCAAUUUUUUUGAAAUAAAGGGCUGAAACUAGGCAAUUAAAUUAUGGAGAACCAAAACUGCGGUUAUAGCAAAAUAUGAGAAUUAAAUUAAUAUAUACUAUGUUGUCCUUUUUAAUAAGCACCGGUGUCUUUUUUAAAUAUAUAUAUAUAUAUAUAUAUAUACUCUCAAAAAAGGUGAAAUAUCUGUAAAACACACAAAAUCUAAUGGAUGUACCCAGAAGUCUUAAUAUAGUUUAAUUUUUAUAUAUCAUUUGCAAAUAAUAGUAUACUAUAAAAUUGUAUAAACUGGAUUUAAUAUAACCACUAGGUUAAAUAAACGAGUAAAGAAUGUCCUGUUUGAUCUGAUUACUAAUUAAGCAGGGAUUCUAGUAAAACAUACAUAGAAAAUAAAGGUUGUCUUUUUACAUUUUACUAAUUAACCAACAUGCAUAUGUUGAGAAGCAUAAUAUAUACAGCUGGAAAGAACUUACGGAAAACUUGAUGAUGUAAUUCCUGACAAAUUAGCAGAAUUUUUCAAAGCAUGUUUCCAUAUCUGCACCUCAGACGAACUAUACCUUUUUUCAUGUUCAGCGAAUGCAUUUUCAUAACUCUUCUUUUGAUGUCGUACAUCUGUAGGAUCUACUCCGUAGAAAAUAGGUAUUACAAAAUGUCCAUAUGUCUCUUUGCACUCAAUUAUUUUCACAAGCUCAUCUAAACACCAAUGUGAAGAAGCAUAGUUUUCUGAGAAUAUGACCAAUGAAAUGGGAGAUCCUUCCAUUGCUUCUACAAGUGAAUGUGAUAUGUCAUCUCCCCUCUUAAGUUUCUCAUCAAGAAAGGCAUUUAUUUGCUUUCGAGAAAAAGCCUCAGCCAAAUGGCUAAGAAAGAACUUGCGGAUGUCCUCGCCCCUAAAGCUUACAAAAACAUCAUACUUUGAUUGAGGAGUAUUGUUUGGCAUUUCCCUUUCUGCUACACCCUUCAACUUAUUAACAAAACAGAGGUAUUAGAUUCUUCAUAAAUAUUCAGGCGAGACCUCACAAAGAAAAAAUUAAAUAUAUGUGAAAAUCAUUUAUUUUAACAGACUGGCUCUAAUUAAUGCUAUCAAAUUAUUUUCAUAUUUCAAUCUGAUCUGAAAAACAAUCCUAAGAAAAUAAUUUUGAACAUUUUCUAAAUUCAAAAUAUUGCACUUUAAAUUAUUGAUAAGAAAAUAAAGAAAUUGUUUUAAAUUACAAAGCAAUCAUUUUCAUCAAUGUAAACAAAGACCGAGAUUGAAAAGCAAAAACAAUUUAAAACAUAAAAUUGCAAUACAAAUUCACAUAUCGACGAGAAGUCUCAAUCAAAUGACUAAGAAAAUCCUCGCGGAUGUCUUUGCCUCGAAAGCUAACAAGAACAUUGUUGUUGCAUUUAAUGAAAUUGAAGAAAAUUUAGAAGUUAUAUGAAUAUGAGGCCACAAACGUUACGUGUUUUUUUGUGUGGAAUGUUGGGGAUUAACAGUCGCAAAUCCUUUCUCUUUAAAAUCAAAAUAGAAACAUAAUGAAAAUAAGCAUUGUUGAAUAAAAACCUUUUCACAAUGAGCCGAGAAAAAACAAAAAAAAAGUGCAUAUCUAAUUUGUUACUUACUUGAAUAGAGUUUCACCGUUUAGAAGAGAAUUCUAACUUGAAAAUCUUCCAAACUUCUGAAUGGAACCAACCGUUACGGUUACAUACCGUAUCAAUGCAAAACCAUGCAUCAUACUUUAUUCGAGGAAUAUUAACUGAUAUUGACCUUUUCCACUAUGGCUGCAAUGUUAGAAAUAACCAAGAGACUGAAUAAUACAAAAUAAUAUAUUCAAGAAGCUCCAAAAGAUUAUACUCUUUCUCCUAUAUGUUGAAACUUCACCUUCUUGACCUGUAUUGUCUAAUAGAAGGAGGAAGAAGUCAUUUCAGUUGACCUUACCGUGAGUUUGAACUCAUACACAUUUACACUCAGCCUCAGGAUAUUGCAGGAAUCUAUGUCAUUGACCUUACAUUUUAAAGUGUGAACUCGCACACUUCCAUAGAGCAUUGGACUCGAGAGAAAAUCCAAGUUUAAUUUUAAGGUGAAACAAAAUUUUGUUAGACAUUACUUACUUCCCGACGAACUCAGGAUUACCAGGGCACUUAGGUGCCAGAGGGUGUUAACACAAAAAAACAUGAUAUUUUUGGGAAUAUGUAAUGGCAUCAAAUUCGUUAAUAUUUGGUUUGAUGUUGGCAAAUUACAUUUUGACAUUCUUUGCGUAAAAAAUGAUGAAAUAAAUUCAUAAUGUUUUCUUACACUACACUAGCUUAUAGACAUAUCAUGAAUUGUCUCACAAGUGUUUAUAUUAAUAAAAUAAACUCAAAUAAAUCAAUUUUAAAAAUAUUUUUCUAUAGUUAAAGGAACUUUUUAUUAAAUUUGGCUUCAAACUUGUGUCACUGUGUCAGCAUUCAAAAGUACAGUUUGCAAGUGAUAGUGGUAAUCAAUGAGAGCAAAAGUACUUUCAAUAUGUAUCAUCCAAACAAAAUACAGUUUGUCAAACAUAAGUGUUGUGAAUCCGGUUCUACAAAGAAACCUUCACACCAAUGAAAUAAACCAAUGAUGUGUGGAGCAAGUGAUAGUGGUAAUCAAUGAGAGCAAAUGGUCUCCAAGCAAACAACAACAAAACAGUCCUAGACUAGUGUAUCGCAAAAACCACACAAAGAGCUAACAAGCAUAAACAAGAUAAGCAAGAAAGGAAGAACAAAACACCAUGCAAGAUUGUUGACCCAGUUCAGCCAAUAUGGCCUAAUCUGGGGGAGAGAGCAGCUCUCCAAUCCAAUAUGUGAAAGUGUUACAAAAGGUUACAAGACUCUAGCUUUCAAGCUUUACACAUGAACAAACCCUAGAUCUACCCUUUGGUAUUUUCCCACUCUCACACUAUGAACCCUAAAACCCAAGGUGAUUACAAUGUUUUUCCCAACCUAAGAAACACUCUCAUCAAAGACACACACCCCAUAGGAUCCCUCCUUUGAUGUCCAAGUUUUCUCUCUUAAGCUCUCCUAAGGUUGUCUUCAAAAAAGCACAAGAACACAAUAUAUACUAGUCUUCCCCUGAAGAAAUCGUGUCACGAUUUCCCUAGAUCUUGUCACGAUCUGCAACGGUUCUCAGGUUGACCAGUCCUUAUCAGUGAUACUUAACCAGCAAGUUUCUGAAUCGUGUCACGAUUUCCCAAAUCGUGACACGAUUUGGCGUCUUGCAAACUUGCUUACGGUCACUUGAAAUCGUGUCACGAUGCCAAAAUCGUGUCACGAUUUCUCUGUUCUUCCAGACCACAAAUUUGAAGCCAAUAUCAACAAUAAGUGUAUAUGAAAUGAAUAUUAAUCUAAUUAUCUUUUGGCUAAUCUUUCGUCAAGAAAUAUGUGGGGCAAUAAGGCGAGCUUCCUCGGACGAACUAAUUUUUGUCAAUGCGCAAGAGCAGGAGAUUAAAUCCCUAAAGCGUAUGAAUUGUUUACCAUAAACCCAGACCACAUUGGUUCUCCUUCAAAGAAUCUAUGAUUCAACAAAUCUUAGUUUUGUUAUUUAAAUGAAAUUACACUUUUAAUCUUUUAUGUGUUACAAAGAAAAAUCAAUUUUAGAAGUUAUAUACACACACGUCAUCACCAAAAUUAACUUCGGUUAAACAUACAAAUUAAAAAUUAGUAUUAUUAUUAUUAGCUUCAAAUCAAAUAAAUCAAAUAUGGGCUCAUUCAUUCAUACACUCUUAACCAUAAUAUUUUAUUAUUUCAACACAAUAAACAACAUUAUAGAAUCCCGUGAGCUUAGCUUAGUUGGUAGGGAUAUUGCAUAUUAUAUGCAGGAGCUGGGGUUCGAACCCCGGAUACUCCACUUCUCCACAAUUAUAUUGUGUAAGCUCUAGCCACUAGCCUACUUAACCAAAAAAAAAAAAACAACACUACAGAAAAGUUAAAAAUGACACGAAAGAAAACAAAAAACUGCUCCUAACAAUCGAAGGAAGGCAGCACCAUUUAAGGCUUUUCUCGCCUCAAAUUUCUUUUUUCUUUUUAUUUCCUUUGUUCCUUUCACCUUAAGCACAUUCGUAUUCCAUUUGUUGAAUGAGGUUUUGAUAUGUUGACUGGUUUAUGGGGCUCAUGCCAAACCCUUUUAACUUCACCUUGAUGAAUCCUGACAUUGCUGUAACCUUGAUUUUAAAGCUUGUCUGAUUUUUUGCUAUUCUAGUUAGGUACCCAGAACAUCGUUGGUCCUGUAUCAUGCAUACAUGAUCUAAAUAAAUAUCCAAUGGCAUACUACGCAAGUUGAUAUCGACACCAUCCUUUUCAUUGUCACCCUCAAUUGUAGUGAUUUUCAAUAUAAAUUUGCUGAAAUUUAGUAAACACUUAGGAAAAACAAUGCAAAAGACAAAGCCCAAUAAAGGUGAGAGACGAGGCUGAGAGAGAUCAAUAAUCAUAUCAUCCUUUGUUGUCUUGUACUCCAACCACUCUGGAAUACUACUUCCAGGAUACACAUACAUUGCUUCAUCAGAACCAAAGUUAGCAUACUUCAUUAAAUUGAUUUGAACAUUCAACCCAACAUUUAUGAGAGAACUUUCAUCCAAGUUCUCGCAAUUCCAGAACUCAACACUUUUCUUGUUUUCCUUGAAUUGUUCAGCAACUGUUGAAGGGAACAAUACAGUCUUCAGUGAAAAAGAAUCUUUAACAAGUAGAGUUUCAACUGAUGAAGGAAGCUCGGGUAAAGCCACAAGCUUCAAGCAACCUCGUAUGUCUAGUUUUCUUAGUCUUGUAAGAUUCUUGAUGCUUGAAGGUAUGAUCUCAAUAUCACUGUAUCUUAAAACCAGUAUUUCUAGCUUUCUUUGACAUCCAAAAGAUGAUGGCAGUGCAUUGAUGGGACACCACGAUAGACCCAAUUGCUCAAGCCUGUUAAGAGAUAAAAUAGAUGGAUGGACGCUUUUCAGCUGAUAACAACUUGAGAUAUUUAAUACCUUAAGAUUUAUGGCUUUUGAAAAGUCUGGUAACUCCUUUAAUAACAUUGAAUAAGAGAGUCUAACUUCUUUUAAAUUAAUUAGAUCCUGCUACCAAAAAAAAAUAUAUGGUGAGAUUAAAAAUAGCCUUACAUAAUUAUUUUAUAAUUCCUUGAAUUAAGAUAAAUUUAAUUUGGAAGAUAAAUAUCCAAUUACCUGCACUCCACACCAAAGCUUUUCCACUAGACUAUCUGACAAGUCCAAUAUAACAAGAUUCUUUGCAGAAAACUUCUCUGGGAAUGAUUUUAGAGGGCAGUAUGUCCAAUGAAGAUAUUUUAUACCAAGUGGAAAAGAUUGAAGCCCUUGAGGAAAAACAAAUCAAAAACCUUCUAUACCACCAAAAUACAAAAAACCGCAGGUUGGUCAUCUUAUCAAAAUACAUGACGGCUUAACUUCAGCUCCCUCAUUGUUGGCAAACUUAUGCUUCUAAUAGCAUUGGUACCCUGCAAUCAUGAAAGUAAAAUAAAACAUUAAAAUCUUUGAAAGGCACAUUUUUAAUCGACAUGACAAAUAUUAAUCUAAAAAUGACAUAUUUUUUACCUUGUCAUUUUUCAAUACAUCAUAAAUUUCAUCAGGAUUCCAUAAUCGACUGCGUUUUCCAAGGUCACUAGAUUCUUGCCGAACAAUCUCCCAACCCAUUUCUUGAAGAAUGUCAUGCAUAGAUAUAACAUUAUCUUCAGAAAUAGUUAUAAGAGCUUUAUCUUUCAACGUUUCUAACCCACCAGCCACGUAAUUAUCACUAUCACAAUCUUUCAAUAAAUGUUUCAUGUAAUCCACUUUCAAAUCCAACCCAUUGAAGAAACAUGCAAUAUCUAAAAAAUACUUUUGCUCUAAACGAUCAAGAUCAUCAUAACUGAGUCUCAUUGCAUCAUAAACUUUUUGAACUGGCAGUCUUCUAAGUUUGUCUAGCUGACUUUCCCAUACUUCUUUCUUUUUUCCACGAAGCAUAUGAGCUAAAACCUUAAGAACUAACGGAAUCCCUUUGGCAUAAUUGACCACACUCUUUGAUAGCUCAUAGUACUCCAUUUCAAGAUGACUUUGUUUAAAGGCAUUCGAAUUGAAAAGCACAAGUGCUUCACUAGAAUCCAAUACCCCAACCUCAUAUAUAUCAUCAUCUUCAACUUCAUUAUUCCUUAGUACUUGCUUAUCUCUGGAUGUUAGAAUUAUUCUACUAUCAGAUUGAAACCAAUCAAGAGUUCCAAAUAACAUCUCGAGCUGAUCUGUCUCCUUGACAUCAUCAAGAACGAUAAGAACCUUCAUGCGGCUAAUCCGUCUCUUUAUAUCACCGGACAAUUCUUUCACAGACUCUUUCAAUAGUUCAGAUAAAAGGCUUUCCUUUAAACAUCCAACUCCACCAUGUGUUUUUAACCUUUCACUGACCUUUUCCAAGAAACAACAACCAUCAUAAUCGGAACGAUUUUGGCUAAAUAUUUCUUCUGCAAUAGUUGUCUUGCCAAUACCGCCCAUGCCCCAAAUUCCAAUAACACGGACCUGUUCUGACUCUUUCUUUAACAAUGAAUUCAAAUCCGCAAUUGGUUUGUCAAUUCCAACAAGUUCUUUUGAGUUAACCGGUGAAUUCUUCAGCUCACUCAACCUCAUCAACACAACCUUGGUGAUUUCUUCCACCAGCACGGCAUCAUUCCUAUUGAUUGAAGGAUGUAUAGAGAAGUUUCAAAAUAGUGCCAUUUUUAUAUAUCAUUUGGAAAUUAGAAUAUACUAAUUUCCAUAGUUCAAUGCAAGUCAAUAAUAUCUUCAAUUUUUUAUUGCAGAAACAAAAAUAGAUAGAAUGAGAUAAUAAAUAGUUAAGGAUGUUAUAAGGAAAAGAAAAAACAGUUUUAUCAAAAGUAAUAAAAUGGCAAAUUAUAUAAUUUAUCCCUUAACUUAAUUUUAAGUAACACUUUGGUUAUUUUAUAUUUUUUUGUCCCAAUUUAGUCUUAUAUGUUAUAAAAUGUCAAUAUCUUAGCAUUUUAUGAGAUUUUUCGAAUGAAAUAUGAGAUUUUAAAUUUGUAUGAUGAAGAUUUGAAUUUGUUAAAAAUUUGAUGAGUUUUUGAUGAUUUUUUUGCAUAAUAGAAUUCAGAUAAGGGACGAAUUUUAUAAUUUUACGUAACAAAAUUUAUAUAUAACUUUAAAACAAAAGGAACGAAAAGGUGCAAUAACCAAUGAUAUCUAAGGAAGUAAACUUUUUUUAGUGUCGAGAAUGUCUUGUUUGAUCUAAUCCUUGUCCGAAAGAGGUGCAACAGUCAAUAAUAUUUUUUUUUUGGUAUAAACAACAGUCAAUAAUAUAAUAUAUAAGAAAGUAAUCUUGUUUUUUUAGGGAUAAAU
rnacentral:lncRNA from 1 species